AAUCCAAUCAAGCCCGGCUUGGUAUUGGGCGUCGGGGCCUCCCCCGCGCCUUCAUUUCAUCGGCUGGCCGUCGCCCGUCUUAGCGUUGUGACACACUUCUCGCUAGCGAUGGGGGCGGACCACGCCGUUAGAACCCUCUGAAUUUCAAUCGAAAUUCGAUCAA
rnacentral:misc_RNA from 1 species